rnacentral:rRNA from 1 species
GCCUAACACAUGCAAGUCGAACGGUAACAGGAAACAGCUUGCUGUCUCGCUGACGAGUGGCGGACGGGUGAGUAAUGUCUGGGAAACUGCCUGAUGGAGGGGGAUAACUACUGGAAACGGUAGCUAAUACCGCAUAACGUCGCAAGACCAAAGAGGGGGACCCUCGGGCCUCUUGCCAUCGGAUGUGCCCAGAUGGGAUUAGCUUGUUGGUGGGGUAACGGCUCACCAAGGCGACGAUCCCUAGCUGGUCUGAGAGGAUGACCAGCCACACUGGAACUGAGACACGGUCCAGACUCCUACGGGAGGCAGCAGUGGGGAAUAUUGCACAAUGGGCGCAAGCCUGAUGCAGCCAUGCCGCGUGUAUGAAGAAGGCCUUCGGGUUGUAAAGUACUUUCAGCGGGGAGGAAGGGAGUAAAGUUAAUACCUUUGCUCAUUGACGUUACCCGCAGAAGAAGCACCGGCUAACUCCGUGCCAGCAGCCGCGGUAAUACGGAGGGUGCAAGCGUUAAUCGGAAUUACUGGGCGUAAAGCGCACGCAGGCGGUUUGUUAAGUCAGAUGUGAAAUCCCCGGGCUCAACCUGGGAACUGCAUCUGAUACUGGCAAGCUUGAGUCUCGUAGAGGGGGGUAGAAUUCCAGGUGUAGCGGUGAAAUGCGUAGAGAUCUGGAGGAAUACCGGUGGCGAAGGGCGGCCCCCUGGACGAAGACUGACGCUCAGGU